rnacentral:rRNA from 1 species
UGCGCAGGCGGCGUUAUAAGUCAGAGGUGAAAGGCCACCGCUUAACGGUGGAACUGCCUUUGAUACUGUAGUGCUUGAAUAAGGUUGAGGUUAGCGGAAUGUGACAUGUAGCGGUGAAAUGCAUAGAUAUGUCAUAGAACACCAAUUGCGAAGGCAGCUGGCUAGACCUUUAUUGACGCUGAGGCACGAAAGCGUGGGGAGCGAACAGGAUUAGAUACCCUGGUAGUCC